UACGUAGGGUGCGAGCAUUAAUCGGAAUUACUGGGCGUAAAGCGUGCGCAGGCGGCUUUGCAAGUCAGAUGUGAAAUCCCCGGGCUUAACCUGGGAACUGCAUUUGUGACUGCAUGGCUGGAGUGCGGCAGAGGGGGAUGGAAUUCCGCGUGUAGCAGUGAAAUGCGUAGAUAUGCGGAGGAACACCGAUGGCGAAGGCAAUCCCCUGGGCCUGCACUGACGCUCAUGCACGAAAGCGUGGGGAGCAAACAGG
rnacentral:rRNA from 1 species